rnacentral:rRNA from 1 species
AGACCCGAAACCCGGUGAUCUAGCCAUGGGCAGGUUGAAGGUUGGGUAACACUAACUGGAGGACCGAACCGACUAAUGUUGAAAAAUUAGCGGAUGACCUGUGGCUGGGGGUGAAAGGCCAAUCAAACCGGGAGAUAGCUGGUUCUCCCCGAAAGCUAUUUAGGUAGCGCCUCGUGAAUUCAUCUCCGGGGGUAGAGCACUGUUUCGGCUAGGGGGCCAUCCCGGCUUACCAACCCGAUGCAAACUGCGAAUACCGGAGAAUGUUAUCACGGGAGACACACGGCGGGUGCUAACGUCCGUCGUGAAGAGGGAAACAACCCAGACCGCCAGCUAAGGUCCCAAAGUCAUGGUUAAGUGGGAAACGAUGUGGGAAGGCCCAGACAGCCAGGAUGUUGGCUUAGAAGCAGCCAUCAUUUAAAGAAAGCGUAAUAGCUCACUGGUCGAGUCGGCCUGCGCGGAAGAUGUAACGGGGCUAAACCAUGCACCGAAGCUGCGGCAGCGACACUCAGGUGUUGUUGGGUAGGGGAGCGUUCUGUAAGUCUGCGAAGGUGGCCUGUGAGGGUUGCUGGAGGUAUCAGAAGUGCGAAUGCUGACAUAAGUAACGAUAAAGCGGGUGAAAAGCCCGCUCGCCGGAAGACCAAGGGUUCCUGUCCAACGUUAAUCGGGGCA